GACGAACGCUGGCGGCGUGCUUAACACAUGCAAGUCGAACGGUGACGAGGAGCUUGCUCUCUGAUCAGUGGCGAACGGGUGAGUAACACGUGAGCAACCUGCCCCAGACUCUGGGAUAACAGUUGGAAACAGCUGCUAAUACCGGAUACGAGACGGAGAGGCAUCUCUACCGUCUGGAAAGUUUUCGGUCUGGGAUGGACUCGCGGCCUAUCAGCUAGUUGGUGAGGUAAUGGCUCACCAAGGCGACGACGGGUAGCCGGCCUGAGAGGGCGACCGGCCACACUGGGACUGAGACACGGCCCAGACUCCUACGGGAGGCAGCAGUGGGGAAUAUUGCACAAUGGGCGAAAGCCUGAUGCAGCGACGCCGCGUGAGGGAUGAAGGCCUUCGGGUUGUAAACCUCUUUCAGCAGGGAAGAAGCGAAAGUGACGGUACCUGCAGAAGAAGCACCGGCUAACUACGUG
rnacentral:rRNA from 1 species